rnacentral:rRNA from 1 species
UAGGGAAUCUUCGGCAAUGGACGAAAGUCUGACCGAGCAACGCCGCGUGAGUGAAGAAGGUUUUCGGAUCGUAAAACUCUGUUGUUAGAGAAGAACAAGGACGUUAGUAACUGAACGUCCCCUGACGGUAUCUAACCAGAAAGCCACGGCUAACUACGUGCCAGCAGCCGCGGUAAUACGUAGGUGGCAAGCGUUGUCCGGAUUUAUUGGGCGUAAAGCGUGCGCAGGCGGUUUCUUAAGUCUGAUGUGAAAGCCCCCGGCUCAACCGGGGAGGGUCAUUGGAAACUGGGAGACUAGAGUGCAGAAGAGGAGAGUGGAAUUACAUGUGUAGCGGUGAAAUGCGUAGAUAUAUGGAGGAACACCAGUGGCGAAGGCGGCUCUCUGGUCUGUAACUGACGCUGAGGCUCGAAAGCGUGGGGAGCAAACAGG